rnacentral:rRNA from 1 species
CACGUAGGAGGCAAACGUUAUCCGGAUUUACUGGGCGUAAAGCGCGUGUAGGUGGUUCUGUAAGUAGGGCGUGAAAGCUCCCGGCUCAACUGGGAGAGGCCGUUCUAAACUGCAGAGCUAGAGGAUGGUAGAGGGAGGUGGAAUUCCAGGUGUAGCGGUGGAAUGCGCAGAUAUCGGGAGGAACACCAGUAGCGAAGGCGGUUCUCUGGGCCGGCACUGACGCUGAGGAGCGAAAGCGUGGGGAGCAAACAGGAUUAGAUACCCCUGUAGUCCCU